CGCGUAGGUGGUAGUGCAAGUCUGAGGUGGAAUCCUAUGGCUUAACCAUAGAACUGCCUUGGAAACUGCAUUACUUGAGUCAGUGAGGGGAGGGUAGAAUUCCUGGUGUAGCGGUGAAAUGCGUAGAUAUCAGGAGGAAGGCCGGUGGCGAAGGCGGCCCUCUGGCGCUGAACUGACACUGAGGCGCGAAAGCGUGGGGAGCAAACAGGAUUAGAUACCCUGGUAGUCCACGCCCUAAACGGUGGGUACUAGGUGUAGGGCUCGUAAGGGUUCUGUGCCGAAGCGAAAGCAUUAAGUACCCCCGCCUGGGGAGUACGGCCGCAAGGUUGAA
rnacentral:rRNA from 1 species